GAUACUGUGUACCCAAUUAGGUAAGGAACAUAUUCAUUGUUUGUGUACAUGUCCAUCUGUGUUGUAAUCAUUAUCCGUAUUUAUUUUUAAAGAAAUUUGUUAAUUUUGUUUUUUACCUUGAACACAUUGAACUUGUUGAAAUGACAUUAUCUAAAAAAGAUCUGAAUGUGUUGGUGCCCCCUUUUUUGCUCAGAUUCAAGAUAUUUACUAAUCUUGUGGAAUUUAAAUGAUGCCUUUAGUAAAUUCUGCCAUUGUGAUGCGAGUGACUGUUAUCCAAACUUCUAUUUGUUGGGGCUUCAUUGCAGUCAAGUUUUGUGGUUUUUACAUGGUAUUAAAAAGAUCUGUUUACUUUACUGUAGCUUUGUGAUUAUUGUUAUAUUUUUGUAGAAAAAGGGGAAAACAACAGUAAAAAAUAAUGAGUAUUUUCAACCAAUCUUUGAAAAAUGAUAAAGCUUGCUUUUAAAAAAAGGGCAUCCAUAAUGUCUACUUUUAUUUAUUAUAAGUACAUGCAAACAUUGACUUUAAUUCUGCAGUUUGUACAGCACUCUGUCAUUCCUGUAUCAAGCUCCUUCUUGAAGAAGCCUAUAUGUUUAUAUUGUUUACAAACAAAACAAAAAAAUAUGUUUGCCUAGUACCUUCUGUGAUAAAAUAUUCAUGUACAGACAAAUAUGAAUAAAAUAACUGCUUAG
rnacentral:misc_RNA from 1 species